AUGCCCACUGGGUGCUUACUGCCCACUUGCAACAUUGAAUAAAACCACUGGUGCAUGUGACCCAUACAAUUACCAACCACCUGCCGGGAAGCCAAAUCAUACUUGCGGGGGAGCAGAUAUUUGGGCUGAUAUUUUGAGUAGUAGAGAGAUCUUUUGUCCAAAAGGAUCAUAUUGUCCAUCCACAAUCGAGAAACUUCCUUGCAGUAGUGGAUAUUACUGCAGGACUGGUUCUACAAAACAAGCAGGAUGUUUUCGGUUGGCAACUUGUAAACCAAAAUCAUCAAAUCAAAAUAUCACUGCAUAU
rnacentral:misc_RNA from 1 species